rnacentral:rRNA from 1 species
UACGGGAGGCAGCAGUGGGGAAUAUUGCACAAUGGGCGCAAGCCUGAUGUAGCAACGCCGCGUGAGGGACGAAGGCCUUCGGGUUGUAAACCUCUUUUAGUAGGGAAGAAGCGACUGGGUUUUCGUGGGAGUGACGGUACCUGCAGAAAAAGCACCGGGUAACUACGUGCCAGCAGCCGCGGUAAUACGUAGGGUGCAAGCGUUGUCCGGAAUUAUUGGGCGUAAAGAGCUCGUAGGCGGUUUGUCGCGUCUGCUGUGAAAACCCGAGGCUCAACCUCGGGCCUGCAGUGGGUACGGGCAGACUAGAGUGCGGUAGGGGAGAUUGGAAUUCCUGGUGUAGCGGUGGAAUGCGCAGAUAUCAGGAGGAACACCAAUGGCGAAGGCAGAUCUCUGGGCCGUAACUGACGCUGAGGAGCGAAAGCAUGGGGAGCGAACAGGAUUAGAUACCCUGGUAGUCCAUGCCGUAAACGUUGGGAACUAGAUGUGGGGACCAUUCCACGGUCUCCGUGUCGCAGCUAACGCAUUAAGUUCCCCGCCUGGGGAGUACGGCCGCAAGGCUAAAACUCAAAGGAAUUGACGGGGGCCCGCACAAGCGGCGGAGCAUGCGGAUUAAUUCGAUGCAACGCGAAGAACCUUACCAAGGCUUGACAUAUACCGGAAACGGCUGGAAACAGUCGCCCCGCAAGGUCGGUCUACAGGUGGUGCAUGGUUGUCGUCAGCUCGUGUCGUGAGAUGUUGGGUUAAGUCCCGCAACGAGCGCAACCCUCGUCCUAUGUUGCCAGCACGUAAUGGUGGGAACUCAUGGGAUACUGCCGGGGUCAACUCGGAGGAAGGUGGGGAUGACGUCAAAUCAUCAUGCCCCUUAUGUCUUGGGCUUCACGCAUGCUACAAUGGCCGGUACAAAGGGCUGCGAUACCGCAAGGUGGAGCGAAUCCCAAAAAGCCGGUCUCAGUUCGGAUUGAGGUCUGCAACUCGACCUCAUGAAGUCGGAGUCGCUAGUAAUCGCAGAUCAGCAACGCUGCGGUGAAUACGUUCCCGGGCCUUGUACACACCGCAUCCAUAUG